rnacentral:rRNA from 1 species
AGAGUUUGAUCCUGGCUCAGGAUGAACGCUGGCGGCGUGCCUAAUACAUGCAAGUCGAACGCUUUGUGGUUCAACUGAUUUGAAGAGCUUGCUCAGAUAUGACGAUGGACAUUGCAAAGAGUGGCGAACGGGUGAGUAACACGUGGGAAACCUACCUCUUAGCAGGGGAUAACAUUUGGAAACAGAUGCUAAUACCGUAUAACAAUGACAACCGCAUGGUUGUUAUUUAAAAGAUGGUUCUGCUAUCACUAAGAGAUGGUCCCGCGGUGCAUUAGCUAGUUGGUAAGGUAAUGGCUUACCAAGGCGAUGAUGCAUAGCCGAGUUGAGAGACUGAUCGGCCACAAUGGGACUGAGACACGGCCCAUACUCCUACGGGAGGCAGCAGUAGGGAAUCUUCCACAAUGGGCGAAAGCCUGAUGGAGCAACGCCGCGUGUGUGAUGAAGGGUUUCGGCUCGUAAAACACUGUUGUAAGAGAAGAAUGACAUUGAGAGUAACUGUUCAAUGUGUGACGGUAUCUUACCAGAAAGGAACGGCUAAAUACGUGCCAGCAGCCGCGGUAAUACGUAUGUUCCAAGCGUUAUCCGGAUUUAUUGGGCGUAAAGCGAGCGCAGACGGUUAUUUAAGUCUGAAGUGAAAGCCCUCAGCUCAACUGAGGAAUUGCUUUGGAAACUGGAUGACUUGAGUGCAGUAGAGGAAAGUGGAACUCCAUGUGUAGCGGUGAAAUGCGUAGAUAUAUGGAAGAACACCAGUGGCGAAGGCGGCUUUCUGGACUGUAACUGACGUUGAGGCUCGAAAGUGUGGGUAGCAAACAGGAUUAGAUACCCUGGUAGUCCACACCGUAAACGAUGAGUGCUAGGUGUUUGAGGGUUUCCGCCCUUAAGUGCCGCAGCUAACGCAUUAAGCACUCCGCCUGGGGAGUACGACCGCAAGGUUGAAACUCAAAGGAAUUGACGGGGACCCGCACAAGCGGUGGAGCAUGUGGUUUAAUUCGAAGCAACGCGAAGAACCUUACCAGGUCUUGACAUCCCUUGACAACUCCAGAGAUGGAGCGUUCCCUUCGGGGACAAGGUGACAGGUGGUGCAUGGUUGUCGUCAGCUCGUGUCGUGAGAUGUUGGGUUAAGUCCCGCAACGAGCGCAACCCUUAUUACUAGUUGCCAGCAUUUAGUUGGGCACUCUAGUGAGACUGCCGGUGACAAACCGGAGGAAGGUGGGGAUGACGUCAAAUCAUCAUGCCCCUUAUGACCUGGGCUACACACGUGCUACAAUGGCGUAUACAACGAGUUGCCAACCCGCGAGGGUGAGCUAAUCUCUUAAAGUACGUCUCAGUUCGGAUUGUAGGCUGCAACUCGCCUACAUGAAGUCGGAAUCGCUAGUAAUCGCGGAUCAGCACGCCGCGGUGAAUACGUUCCCGGGUCUUGUACACACCGCCCGUCACACCAUGAGAGUUUGUAACACCCAAAGCCGGUGGGGUAACCUUCGGGAGCCAGCCGUCUAAGGUGGGACAGAUGAUUAGGGUGAAGUCGUAACAAGGUAGCCGUAGGAGAACCUGCGGCUG